rnacentral:lncRNA from 10 species
GUAGUUUCUUUCAACUCCACUUACUCCAGCCUCUGAAGGAAAAGCUUAUGUCUCCAAACAGCAAGGCAGAGGAAAUCUCUGAGGCAGAUGUCUACCGAAGGCGCUGCAGCCCUCUGCCCUCUCUUCCAGAAUGCCCUCCCCAGCAACCGAACAAUGGCUCCAAUCAUGCCAGCGAGCUCCGCAGACUCCAGAUGUCACAGACCGGCUGGGUUUCCAGCAACAUCCCAGACCAUACACCACCCAACCAGGGUGAAAAGGAUGAAAAUAGCUCCAGGUAAGCAGAGCGGGAGGAGGGAUGUCAAUGUUCAAAUGGGACCUGAAUCAACCGCAGAUUCUGUUGUCAUUGGCCUCACCUGGGGACCCAAGGACAUUUGUGUGAGAUGGAGAGGGAGGGAAAGAAUUCCCACACAGCUGCUGGGUG